GUGUAUCAAUGUGUUUCUAGGGUUCUGACUAACGGACGUUGAUGGUGGUGUUUUGAUGUCUUAGUAACGAUAGUGGUGGUUGUAGUGGUGGACAGUCGACGUACCGUAGAAGAAAGUUGAAUAUCAACAGCUAUUUCAUUCAAUCUAGCCGCGACGGCGAUGGUGUUAACAUUUAGCUUUGAAUUAUUCAUCGGAAACGACAACUAACCCAACCGUAGUAUGGUAGCAGAUGGACCAGCGAGGUUGCCGGAUUUCAUUGUAGAAGAAAGUUGCAAAGAGGGGUACAGAGGUAUUUGGUUUAUAUGGAUUAGAUUAAAUUAGACGAAUCCUUUCCAAUUCGAUCAGUGUCAAAGACGUGGCAACAACUUAUUCACCGUCACUGCCUAUCUCUCGCACAGGUAAUCGCCUUUUCUUGCAAUAUAUUAUGU